rnacentral:misc_RNA from 1 species
AAGUCGUAACAAGGUCUCCGUAGGUGAACCUGCGGAGGGAUCCUCACAUAGCAAACGCUUUGUAUACCAAUACUCAAACUCAACGCGAACUGUAACGUCCCUAUCAGUGUCUAGCAAGGAUCGUGAGUGCUUGCACUUGCGUGAAUUCACUCUGAUAGACAAUACCACCCCUGAGUCCAUCCUCAUCAAAAAGAAAUUUUUGGUGGCGGGCUCGUCUUAUUCACCACUUUUAACCUAUAAUGAAUGAAUUGUCUUAUCACGAACUUCAUAUGAGGAAUCCGCUUCUGUGGCUUUCUUCUUUUGAAUUUACGAAAUAAUGAACAACUCUUAGUAAUGGAUAUCUUGGGUCAA